CGGAGGAACAAAACAGUGCUGUGCCAAGUUCCAGCCGGUCCAUGUGGAAGUUGCCAAGCAUCAGUUUUCUCUCGAGAACCCGCAGUUCUGCUACCUAACCACUUGUUGGGUUGCCAAAGAAUUCCUCCGAGUUCUGGGAUGAUGUAGUUUUCGCCACAGGUUAAAGAGAGGGGUAGCGCUCUAAAUUUCAUAAUACAAACCAAACACCAAAUUUUUGUAGAUGUAAAGAUCAUUGGCAAGCAAUUGGUUCAGAAUUGCCCUCUUUAUCAAGUUGACUUUUUUUGUUUCGCAACAACUUGGAGUAGCUGUGGCUUACAAUUAGAUGAAAGAUUGAUGGUACAAAAUAUUCUGUUUAUUUGGCGUUUUGAGCAUAGCCAUUCUAUACGAAGUGUGGUAGCGAAUUAUGUAUACCGAGCUUGUUCUUUGCCUCCCACCUAUUGAGUAUCGUGCAGCUUUUGACGCAGAUCAUAUUUGAGUCCUUUCUUUUACGAUGAUCGUCUUCAAAUAUACAAGUUGUUAAGGCCAAAUGAAAUUUUACUGUACUCGUACUGCAGCACAAGCUAUUGGCAGACACACUCCGAAGGAGCAACAGAGAAGAAACUACACCCAGUUACAAGAAACCUUGUUUGUUACACCUACUAGUAGUUCCUCCGGCCCUCCUCGAUCCUCUCCAGCUUGAGUCGCUCUUGAACGUAGGCGAUAAAGCUCGCGGCUCGCCGAUCUACCUCACUACUGUCGAUGGCGCCGUUGACUGUCGUAUCGUAGCCACCGCGGCCGCCGAUCAUCCCUUCCUUUCUGCCCAAGGGAGCCAGAGGAGGAGGAGGAGGAGCAGGGAUAGUGUUAGUAGCAUAUUUCCCCGAGGACUUUGAUCCUCUUCUAUAGAUUAACCCGCUACGCUUGCUGCUGCCGGACUCCAUUCCCUAACUGAGCUCUUCACCUCACCAGGUUGC
rnacentral:lncRNA from 1 species